rnacentral:piRNA from 1 species
GCAUAUCCGUAGACCUUGCCUGAUC